CGAGCAGUAGCUUAGUUGUAGAGAUCCCGCUUCGUAUGCGGGAAGACCUGGGUUGGAUUCCCGGUUGCUUAC
rnacentral:tRNA from 1 species